rnacentral:rRNA from 1 species
UACGGGGGGAGCAAGCGUUGUUCGGAUUUACUGGGCGUAAAGGGCGCGUAGGCGGUCAGCACAAGUCAGUUGUGAAAUCUCCGGGCUUAACUCGGAAAGGUCAACUGAUACUGUGCGACUAGAGUGCAGAAGGGGCAACUGGAAUUCUCGGUGUAGCGGUGAAAUGCGUAGAGAUGCGGAGGAACACCGAUGGCGAAGGCAGCCCCCUGGGUCGACACUGACGCUCAGGCACGAAGCGU